GAGGGCAGAUACUGCUGGCUGCAGGGACCCAUCCUCCCUUUCUUCCUCAGAACUCUGGUUCUUAUUGAGAAUUGGUGCCUGGAAAAAACCUAUACUGCGCACCUCCCUAAGCUAGGAGAGGGCCAGACAAGGAGUUUCCAGCCAUGGAGAUGCGGGCAGAAGUGUCACACAGAAAGCCUUAGGAGGGCUCAUUACAACAGUGGGAGCAGUCUUCUUCCUGCCCUCCUGCCGCCUGAAUAUAGAUCAUGACUGCAGCCCCAGGAAGCCUCUUGGAUCAUAAGGCACUGGAUAAUUUCUUUAAAGCUGCCCAUCCACGGAUUUCAGUUGGUACAACGCUCCUGGAAGCCAUCUGGUCUUAUAUAACAAGAACCUUGAAAAUCACACCCUUCAGUACAGUUAUCCCAUGAAGUCAGAGAAAGACUCAAAAGCGUGUUUAACAAGGAUCCCCAUCACAGUGUUACGGUUCUGGGGUACAUGUGCAGAACAUGCAAGGCUGUUGCAUAGCCUCACAUAUGGCUGACUAAACAACUAGAAACCAACUGGUGCUCUCAAAAAGAUGGGCGCUCAAGCUGAGAGCCGAGGGGGCAAGGAGGAAGUGGCCAAGGAAACGACUCUUCUCAGUUCCACCGAUGAGUGCUAUGCUUGUUAUCUGGAAGUCUGCCCACCAGAAAGCUGACAGUGCUUAGCCCAGCAUGAUCUAAAAGAGCUCAACGGAUCAACAUUAUCAGAAGGUAAUAUUUAAAUGACAACUUGCCUAUUAGACUCUCUGCACAUAUGCCCCUUCUCUAGACUGGGUAAGAGAAAUUCGAAGGAGGAGAUAAGAUUUGGUGGCAAAAAAGAUGUCAAAGUCUGAAGAGGUCUGUCCAGAUGAUCAGUCACAUAAUAAAACUAGGCUUCAGGAAAACGCAAUCAUCGGAAGAAGAAAGGAUAUUGGAAGCUUCAGGCGGCCAACCAGAGCAAAACAGCGCGGGUGCUGCGUACGGUAAAGCUGACUUGAAUUAUAAUUACGGCAACCAGGGACAAGUCACAAUCCACUCCAAACCCCAGUUUCCUUAGCUAUACAGUGAGGAUAAGGAUACUUAUCUCAUAGGAUUCAUAAGGAUUAAUAAGAGAUCAAUUCACAAGCAACAAUAGCACGGUGCUUAGGGUGUAAGAAGUGCUCAGGGAAUGGUGGCUUUUCUCACUGUCAUCACUAAUCCACUACAUUCACCAAUUAACCUGGCGCGUGCACUGAUGCCGCUGCUGUCUUUGUCCUUCGUCUUCUUACUUUAUUACAAUACCAGGUCACAGAUAUUUCACAACGAAUACUUUUUGGAUGCAGCCUACAGCUGCCUUCUGUACAAAUCCUCGCCUAAAUAUAUGCAAGGAGCUGAGAUUCGUCAAAAUCACAGAAAAGAAGUUAGAGAGAAGCAACCACCUACGGAGACUUUCAAAUGCAAUUGUGACUUGUGCCUUGGGAAUUCAAGGUACAUGUUUUUUGUCAUCCCUUCUUCUUGGUAUGUGUGGUCAGUGUUUUGAAACAGAUUUGGUAGAGAGAAGUGAUAAAACAAUAAAAACUCUUAAGAGAGUGUGAA